GGAUCCUGAGUACGGCGGAACACGAGAAAUUCCGUCGGAAUCCGGGAGGACCAUCUCCCAAGGCUAAAUACUCCCUAGUGACCGAUAGUGAACCAGUACCGUGAGGGAAAGGUGAAAAGCACCCCGGAAGGGGAGUGAAAUAGAACCUGAAACCGUGUGCCUACAACAAGUCAAAGCCCGUUAAUGGGUGAUGGCGUGCCUUUUGUAGAAUGAACCGGCGAGUUACGAUUGCAUGCGAGGUUAAGUUGAAGAGACGGAGCCGCAGCGAAAGCGAGUCUGAAUAGGGCGUUUGAGUAUGUAGUCGUAGACCCGAAACCAUGUGAUCUACCCAUGUCCAGGUUGAAGGUGCGGUAAAACGCACUGGAGGACCGAACCCACGUACGUUGAAAAGUGCGGGGAUGAGGUGUGGGUAGCGGAGAAAUUCCAAACGAACUUGGAGAUAGCUGGUUCUCUCCGAAAUAGCUUUAGGGCUAGCCUCGGAAUUGAGAAUGAUGGAGGUAGAGCACUGUUUGGACUAGGGGCCCAUCUCGGGUUACCGAAUUCAGAUAAACUCCGAAUGCCAUUCAUUCAUAUCCGGGAGUCAGACUGUGAGUGAUAAGAUCCAUAGUCGAAAGGGAAACAGCCCAGACCACCAGCUAAGGUCCCAAAAUAUAUGUUAAGUGGAAAAGGAUGUGGGGUUGCACAGACAACUAGGAUGUUGGCUUAGAAGCAGCCACCAUUUAAAGAGUGCGUAAUAGCUCACUAGUCGAGUGACCCUGCGCCGAAAAUGUACCGGGGCUAAACAUAUUACCGAAGCUGUGGAGUACACCUUUAGGUGUAUUGGUAGGAGAGCGUUCUAAGGGCGUC
rnacentral:rRNA from 1 species